CAGCUCGGCUUUUCCUAGCAUCCGCAGCCUUUUGGUCCCCACCUGGCCUCCCUGGGGACAUUUCUGCAGAAUUCCCUGCACAUCCCCCUCAAUCUGAUUAGAAGCAGGAAGGAUCAGUGGCUCAUCGGCGACCCGAGCCACACUGGCUCCAGAGCUGGCCUGGCAGGCUUGGGGCUGGGCUGGGGCUACUCCCAAUUGUCUCCCUGUGCGCACCCCGACCCAGGGCUUGGGAUGAAUGUCAUCGCCCCCAGCUGACCUCCUGCAUCAUGGGCAUUCUUGUCGGCAAAGACAGCGAGACCCAAUGUCCUGCUGGAUAGCUGUCUGGUGGAACAGGCUGGCAAGGACUCGAGCGGAGUAGACAGGACCCAGCCCCAGAGGGCCUCGGACCAGGAGCUGCAGGAGGAGGCCGUGACUGCCAGCCCCGAAGGUAGGUGUGUGGUGGGGGGGGGGGGCGGGGUCAGAGCGUUGAGGAUACUUUCGGGCUGGGGGCAGCCUGGGGACAAGGGCACUCAGCCCCUCUCCCUCCAUCCCUACCGUCCCCACUCCCCUACACCUGUCUCAUCCUCAGGUGAAACCCAUCCUCUGCGUCUUGGGGCCACAUGAUCAGAGCUUGGUGAUGUAUUUCAGGGCCCCAGGGGAAUUACGGGAGGCUCCUGGGACUCCAUUAGGCCUGUGGAAACCCCACUCCCGGUCAGCCCCUCCUGCCGCUCUUCUCUGGACUACCAUCUGGAGACGGUUUGGCUGAAAUGUAGCAUCUCUGAAUGAAAACUGGAACCCGAGCUUGCUAAGGGCCCGUCCUAGACCCCACGUGUCUCAAUGAGCUUUUCCUUACUGCCCAGACCCCCAGGCUGUACCCAGCACACGCACUUUGCUAUUAUUUACCACCUCCACCCGCAAACCCGAGAGCUCCAGGGCUGGCGCGGCAGAGGCUAGGGAGCCGAGCACAGCCAGGCUGGGGAGCCUGAGACAGACAGACAUGGAGCCCUGACCUUUUGGGCCUCCAUGUUCCUCAAGCCACCCUCUGAGGCAGACAGACCGUUUUAUAGAUGAGAAACCUGAGGCUCCAAGUGGGCAGGAUGUGGCUGAGCGGUCAAGGGCGCAGACCUGCAUUUCACUCUUGGUUCCUCCCUCCUCCUUCCUGUGGGACCUGGAGCCGGGUGUGUGACCUCUCUUAAUUGUGACUCCCAAAUCCAGAAAGACAGGGCAAGAGUCGUACCUGCCACACAGGGCAUGGGGCAGAGUAGGAGGGGACAAUGUGUCAAAGGUACCCAACACCGCGUGGCCCUGAGGCAGGACGCCAUAAUGGGGACCAUGGUGCUCAUGUCCCAGCCAGCCGGCGACUGACACGGGACUGGAUGCAGGUGUCCCGACUCCAGGUGUCCCAACCUUGCUCCCCACCUGGUCUUUGAGAAGCACCUUUUUUUUAAAGAUUUUUAUUUAUUUAUUUGUCAGAGAGAGAGAGAGAGAGCGCACAAGCACGGGGAACGGCAGGCAGAGGGAGAGGCAGGCUUCCCUGCCGAGCAGGGAGCCCGAUGCGGGGCUCGAUCCCAGGACCCCGGGACCAUGACCUGAGCCGAUGGCAGACGCUUAACCGACUGAGCCACCCAGGCGCCCCUGAUUCUAACUUUUUCUGUCUGAGGUGGGAAAUGCUACCAGUGGCUGGUUAACAGAGAAAGCACAAGAAGUUGGGGGACCCGGGGCUGUCCCUCAGAGCUACCACAUAGACCAGCCAACAUGACCUGAUGAUGCUUUCGAUGUUGACCCCAGGGACACGAAUGAUGUUUGGGCUUUGGAUGCAGCUGCUGCAAGGGCAGGCGGGCCCCGGGCUGGUCCGAGUUGGUGCUAGUGGGGAGGAGCCCACCUCCCCUGCCUCCCCCAA
ensembl:lncRNA